GGUAAGGAGGGGGGAAUAUCAGAAAAAAAAAAUAGAAAAACAAAUGAGGUCUUUCCAGAGAAGGGUCUGAAUUGUCCAGGUUGACCUUGAACUUGUGAUCCUGUUGGCUCAAACUCCUGAAUAGCUGGGAUUACAGGCAUGUGCUAUCAUGCCAGCUUUGCCCUGGAUCUUGACAUUACUUGCCUCCAGACUGGAACUUACACCAUCAAUUCUUCUGCAUCUCAAAACUUCAAACAUGGACUGGAAGCAAAUCAUCAGAUGUCCUGGGCCUCUUGUUUGUAGACUACAGAUCUCGGGACUUGACAGCCUACAUAAUCAUGUUCAACUUUGCUACAGAAUUAAGAAUUUGCAGUUAGGGCAAUGCUAAGAACCACAUCUGCAAUGAAAUCAAUUAUGUGUGCUUGGGUAGCCAAAUGGUCAGUGUGGAGAAGUUCUUCAUUAUGUAAAGAAUUGAGAUAAUUAAUGCAGAAGGAAAGGCCCCACAAGACAAAGAAGCUCUUCAAUGGGUGAAGAACUAAAAAUGGGCUUUAAAAACUACACAUGCAUAGGAAGGGCAGCAGAAGACAACAGACACUAGUAUGGCAGUAUGUAAAAACAUGGAUGUGUAACCGAUGUGAUUCUGCAAUCUGUAUACGGGGUAAAAAUGGGAGUUCAUAACCCACUUGAAUCAAAUGUAUGAAAUAUGAUAUGUCAAGAGCUUUGUAAUGUUUUGAACAACUAAUGAUAAUAAUAAAAAACUAUACAUGCUUAUUUGAUAAACAAAAGAGCUUGUGUUUUUAAAGGUGUAAACAUGCCUCUGUCCUUAUUUCCUUACUUCCAUAUCACUAUCUUGGUUCCUCCAAAAGCUAAAAAAGUACUUCUUACAUUUUCUUCCCUUCUCUCACAUAGUAGUGCUACAGAAAUUACUUAGAGGCCCAUCUCUCACAAGAGAGAUGUUAUCCUUCCUCUCUUUAUUUUAGGAGAAUAAUCAGGAAUAGACAAGAUACAGAAAAAAAAAGGAAUUAUGGAGUUUUUGGCAUCAAAGCCUUAGAUGAUUCUUAGUGGAUAUGAAAACGAUGUAUUAUUUAAUAAAGGCAAGUUCUCUAACAACUUGCAUAAACACCUGACCAGAUAUGGAGCUGCAUGACUCUAGCUACUUUCAGAUAAAUUAAUCACUAAAUCUAUACUACAAAAUUGAUGAAUUAAUAUCUUAUUAUAUCUUGAGAAAUGGAAAGUUUUCCAGGGUUUGCUUCUUCCAGAAAA